rnacentral:lncRNA from 1 species
AAAAAAUUCAACAGUUGGAGGAAGGUGCUGCCAUCUCAAUUGUGAGUGGGCAACAGUCACAUACUUAUGAUCCCUGGUGGUAACUAAUGAGUAUCUGCUGCAGCAGCUGAAUAAGGAGCCAAAAGGUUAUUCCGGGAAAGCGCUCCUGCCUCCUGAGAAGGGUCAUCAUCUGGGGAGAUCAUCGCCCUUUGGGAAAAGCACGUUGUCUUCCUCCUCACCAGUGGCACAUGAGACUGGUCAGUAUCUAAUACAGAGCGUCUUGGAUGCUGCCCCAGAGCCUGGC